rnacentral:lncRNA from 1 species
GGCAAGUGUUUAUUUUUGCAACAAUGUAUUAAUCAAUCCUUACUGCAAUAAUUGUAUUACACAUCACCUGACAUGGGUAAACAUAUAGUAUUUUUUUAAAUAAAUUACAUACCGACAACAUUUGACCAUGCCAGGCAUACAAUACACAUAUAUAUUUACAGUAAAACUAUGUACAGUCAUACUACACAAAAUGUAAGUACUCAAUGACCACUUCCACAAUUGGCCUGAAUGCCCAUUAACAACAGUUCUACUGUAUAUCACAAGUGGCAAUUGUUCCUUACAAGGCUCUUGUAAAGGUCACAGAGAAACAAAUUGUGAAAUUAACCCAUUGAGUCGCAUUGCGCCCUGAUGCACAUUACUUUAUUAUUUCACUCUGUCUAAUGCCAGAUGAUUUUACUCAUCAAGGGGAUAGUGCUGGCGCUUAAUGGGUUAACUAGUCUAUCUGCCCAUGUGUCUAGUUAACCCAUUGAGUCGCAUUGCACCCUAUUUUAUUAUUUUACUCUGUCUAACGUCAGACUCUUUCUAAUGCCAGACAAUUUCACUUGGCAAGGGGAUAGCGCUGGCACUUAAUGGGUUAAUUUAACCAUAACAAGUACACUACAAAUCAAAGUCUGUUUACAUUACAAUUGAACACUGUGAACAUAUCUUCAAGCUGCAUGUUUGCCAGAAAGGCAACAUCAUCAAUAACAUGAAGAAGCUAAAAAGCAAAAUGAUUCUGGAAGUUUGUCAUCAUUUUCUCCUGGAUGGCAACAAAUCUGUGUUUCCAGACCACGAGCUAGGUGCAAACGAAGAUAUGAUCGAAGAUGGCCACCAAGUAAAUCUAAUAAAGUAGCAGCAGACAAAUAUUAUACAUUGUGUCUCUUCAUGUAUGGGAAGCACUACACACCCCCUGUGGAAAUCAACUUCGGUUGACAGGGUUAGCAUGGGUAAAUACAAUUUUUCUAUCUAUCCACAAUCAUACAGAACGAAAUGCCCAGUGACAGGCACCAUUUAAUGCACCAAUCAAUUUAUACUGUUAACAUCCCCCCGGGCAUUUGACAACUUGAGUGGGGCAUUUGACCUUUUGAAUUGCUGUUAGGGUAGGGCAUUUGAUGCUGAGUCACAAGACAUGGGGCAUUUGACCAUUUUAAUGGAUUGUUCCAGAAAAGAUGUACACUCCCCCCACAGAGGAAAUUUCUGCCGUCCGGAGGGGGAGGGGAGAAAAAAUUGUUUCUGAUAAUAGUAAAUGCAUUAGGACAUCCGAAGGGGGUAGGGGGGUUAACUUCCAAUUUCCUCUGUGGGGGUGGUAUGGAUGUUUUCUGGAAUAACCCAAUACACCAGAUUGCACGAGGUCCGAGAUUUAUUAAAAAACAAAAUUCAAAAUGGAGUAUACUUUAAACACUUUUAGAAGCUUUAUAAAGCAUGAGAUGUAAGUUGUUAAUACAGAGUCUCAUUUAUUAAACUGUUGAAGUUACCUUCAGAAUUCAGUGUAUGUUUUCACACAAUUUCAAACUUGAACUGAUAGAAUUACAGUCAGAAUGAUUGGGGGGUUGAGGCAUUUGGACAGCAUUUUUGUCCUGGGAGUGGGAAAUUUGACCACAAAAUUUCAAAAAGUUCAAAUGCCCAGGGGGGAUGUUAACAGUAUAAAUUGAUUGGCGCAUAAACAAGUUGAAUGAUUCUUGUUCAAAAAUCAAUAGUUAUAGCAAAUAAGAGUAAAAUAAGAGUAAAAUAAUACAAUACUUAUCUUUUAAUUAAUGAUUCGUUGGCCUGAGUCCACAAAUAUAGCCCAAACUGAACCAAUUCGUUGCUGUUGGAACGUUUGACUUUUCAGUCAGUAUAAAAGCAAAACGAUGUCGCUCGUCGCUCGAUAAAAUAACUUUAAUAUUCGAUUGAUUGUAUAUUAUAAUCAAGAAUUAUACUUUGCAUUAGAAUUGCUGUUAAAAGAGUUCAAAAAUCUUACGCAUUUCAAGUAAAAACCCCGAAAUUCUUGGUCUUUGAAUCCACACUUGUUAAAAUAUUUUAACACGUUUUUUC